CCUACGGGAGGCUGCAGUGGGGAAUAUUGCACAAUGGGCGCAAGCCUGAUGCAGCCAUGCCGCGUGUGUGAAGAAGGCCUUCGGGUUGUAAAGCACUUUCAGCGGGGAGGAAGGCGUUAAGGUUAAUAACCUUGGCGAUUGACGUUACCCGCAGAAGAAGCACCGGCUAACUCCGUGCCAGCAGCCGCGGUAAUACGGAGGGUGCAAGCGUUAAUCGGAAUUACUGGGCGUAAAGCGCACGCAGGCGGUCUGUCAAGUCGGAUGUGAAAUCCCGGGGCUCAACCUGGGAACUGCAUUCGAAACUGGCAGGCUAGAGUCUUGUAGAGGGGGGUAGAAUUCCAGGUGUAGCGGUGAAAUGCGUAGAGAUCUGGAGGAAUACCGGUGGCGAAGGCGGCCCCCUGGACAAAGACUGACGCUCAGGUGCGAAAGCGUGGGGAGCAAACAGGAUUAGAUACCCCGGUAGUC
rnacentral:rRNA from 1 species